ensembl:lncRNA
AAGAAGUAUGCCGCCUCACUGUGCUGCAUACAAUUACACACUGUGUCGUACGAUUGAGACAAGGAAACUUGGAAUGACUUUUCAUAGGUUUCCCAGAGACUAUGGGUUGAGGAGGAAUUGGAAGUUUGUCGGCUUAGACCUGGUGUCAUUCCAUCAGUGUUAAACUUCCCGGCUCAUCUUGGAAGAGUACGUGCCAGAAAGACCACGACCAAGCAGCCUUGAGAUCUUAGGCAGCGUCUCCCUCAGGUCCCUCUCUAUCUCCCCACACAUCCACCAACCACUGGAACACAUCUCCAAAGUUCUGCCAGACCAGCUCAGCUUCCCCUCAGAAGAAGUGCCGCCACCUGCCAGAUGAAGGAGCCUUUUGAGAGGCAGCUGGCAUCGUGAUUGGACUGUACUUUGGUCUGUUCCAAUCCAGCUUCAGCUCCAGAGACGGCAGGCGGGACGAGUCAACGGAGGCCGGGUGGACGAAGGCAUGCAGCUGAGUACAAUCCAGAAAACAACAGAGGAGGAGUGCAGCGUUCCAGGGCCAGAACAACCAGAGUAGCAUCGUAUGUCUCUUAGAAAACAUCAUAGUAUAGCCUUUGGUAUGAAAAAACGCCAUCAUAUACAUCGUAUAUUGUACAAAUAACAAGUCAAAGGAAAGAGACAUACAUUGUAGAACUGUAGUAAUUGUGGGCUGACUGAUUUACUGAUUAUCAGUAUUUUAUUUUUUACUGAUUUACGGUAAUAAAUAC